rnacentral:rRNA from 1 species
UACGUAGGGGGCAAGCGUUGUCCGGAAUUAUUGGGCGUAAAGAGCGUGUAGGCGGUCCGGUAAGUCAGCUGUGAAAGUCCAGGGCUCAACCCUGGGAUGCCGGUGGAUACUGUCGGGCUCGAGUCCGGAAGAGGCGAGUGGAAUUCCUGGUGUAGCGGUGAAAUGCGCAGAUAUCAGGAGGAACACCAAUGGCGAAGGCAGCUCGCUGGGACGUGACUGACGCUGAGACGCGAAAGCGUGGGGAGCAAACAGG